UACGGAGGGGGCAAGCGUUGCUCGGAAUUACUGGGCGUAAAGGGUCCGCAGGCUGUCAGGCAAGUUGGUUGUGAAAGCUCAAGGCUUAACCUUGGAAUUGCAUCCAAAACUGCCUGACUAGAGUCCAAGAGAGGUUGGCGGAAUUCCCGGUGUAGCGGUGAAAUGCAUAGAUAUCGGGAGGAACACCAGUAGCGAAGGCGGUGCUCUGGGCCGGUACUGACGCUGAGGAGCGAAAGCGUGGGUAGCGAACAGG
rnacentral:rRNA from 1 species